AAGAAAUUAGAUAUCCAUCUGCUCACAGUUAGACAAACUGUCUAUAAAUGGAGAUGAUUUAGUACUAUAGGUACUCUCACUAGAAGUGGCCGUUAGAUAUUCAUCUGUCCACAGUUAGACAAACGGUCUAUAAAUGGAGGUGAUUUAGUACUAUAGGUACUCUCACUAGAAGUGGCCGUUAGAUAUUCAUCUGUCCACAGUUAGACAAACUGUCUAUAAAUGGAGAUGAUUUAGUACUAUAGGUACUCUCACUAGAAGUGGCCGUUAGAUAUUCAUCUGUCUACAGUUACACAAACUGUCUAUAAAUGGAGGUGAUUUAGUACUAUAGGUACUCUCACUAGAAGUGGCCGUUAGAUAUUCAUCUGUCCACAGUGAGACAAACUGUCUAUAAAUGGAGAUGAUUUAGUACUAUAGGUACUCUCACUAGAAGUGGCCGUUAGAUAUUCAUCUGUCCACAGUUAGACAAACUGUCUAUAAAUGGAGAUGAUUUAGUACUAUAGAUACUCUCACUAGAAGUGGCCGUUAGAUAUUCAUCUGUCCACAGUGAGACAAACUGUCUAUAAAUGGAGAUGAUUUAGUACUAUAGGUACUCUCACUAGAAGUGGCCGUUAGAUAUUCAUCUGUCCACAGUGAGACAAACUGUCUAUAAAUGGAGAUGAUUUAGUACUAUAGGUACUCUCACUAGAAGUGGCCGUUAGAUAUUCAUCUGUCCACAGUUAGAGAAACUGUCUAUAAAUGGAGAUGAUUUAGUACUAUAGGUACUCUCACUAGAAGUGGCCGUUAGAUAUUCAUCUGUCCACAGUUAGACAAACUGUCUAUAAAUGGAGAUGAUUUAGUACUAUAGGUACUCUCACUAGAAGUGGCCGUUAGAUAUUCAUCUGUCCACAGUUAGACAAACUGUCUAUAAAUGGAGAUGAUUUAGUACUAUAGGUACUCUCACUAGAAGUGGCCGUUAGAUAUUCAUCUGUCCACAGUUAGACAAACUGUCUAUAAAUGGAGAUGAUUUAGUACUAUAGGUACUCUCACUAGAAGUGGCCGUUAGAUAUUCAUCUGUCCACAGUUAGAGAAACUGUCUAUAAAUGGAGAUGAUUUAGUACUAUAGGUACUCUCACUAGAAGUGGCCGUUAGAUAUUCAUCUGUCCACAGUUAGAGAAACUGUCUAUAAAUGGAGAUGAUUUAGUACUAUAGGUACUCUCACUAGAAGUGGCUGUUAGAUAUU